UAAGCUUAAAAAAUAUUAUAAUAAUAAAAGUAGUCAUUCGAAAAUUUUAUUUACAAAACUAGUCUUAUGCGCUGAAUAAUUUAUCAUUUUUUUGUAAUUAAAAAAUAGAUUAAUUUCAUACAUGUCCCUAUAAAUAUAGUGAAUAGUAAAUAUAUCUCUACAAAAUUCAAUUUUCAUAUAUUGUAAAAUUCUGAUAUUUUCAAAUAUGUUUUUGUCAUUAGCAUCAGUUAGAAAAAAUUAGUUAACCAUAGGUUAAAUGCUUAACUCUAAUUAGUUUUUGACUUUUUCAGACCUUUAUAUUACACUAGAAUGGUUUUUGGAGGGAUAUAUUUGUGAUGGCAAAAUUGAAAAUAUAAACGGUUCUCUAACGGUAACAAACCAGAGAGACAUAUUUAAAAAUAUUAGGACUUUUGUAGGAACAACAUAUAAAAGUUGAAUUUUAUAAAAAUACAUUUGUCAUUCACUAUGUUUGCAGAAAUAUGUAUAAAACUAACUCUUAAAAAAUUCUAUAGAGUUAGUCGUGCAAAAAUCUCGACCACGGUCCAUGCAAUAAUUUCUCUUCUCACUCUCAAGCUAAGUGAUAAACUCAACUCAACUCAACUCAACU
rnacentral:lncRNA from 1 species